AGAGUUUGAUCCUGGCUCAGGUUGAACGCUGGCGGCAGGCCUAACACAUGCAAGUCGAGCGGUAGAGAGAAGCUUGCUUCUCUUGAGAGCGGCGGACGGGUGAGUAAUACCUAGGAAUCUGCCUGAUAGUGGGGGAUAACGUUCGGAAACGGACGCUAAUACCGCAUACGUCCUACGGGAGAAAGCAGGGGACCUUCGGGCCUUGCGCUAUCAGAUGAGCCUAGGUCGGAUUAGCUAGUUGGUGAGGUAAUGGCUCACCAAGGCUACGAUCCGUAACUGGUCUGAGAGGAUGAUCAGUCACACUGGAACUGAGACACGGUCCAGACUCCUACGGGAGGCAGCAGUGGGGAAUAUUGGACAAUGGGCGAAAGCCUGAUCCAGCCAUGCCGCGUGUGUGAAGAAGGUCUUCGGAUUGUAAAGCACUUUAAGUUGGGAGGAAGGGCAUUAACCUAAUACGUUAGUGUUUUGACGUUACCGACAGAAUAAGCACCGGCUAACUCUGUGCCAGCAGCCGCGGUAAUACAGAGGGUGCGAGCGUUAAUCGGAAUUACUGGGCGUAAAGCGCGCGUAGGUGGUUUGUUAAGUUGAAUGUGAAAUCCCCGGGCUCAACCUGGGAACUGCAUCCAAAACUGGC
rnacentral:rRNA from 1 species